GGGACGGCCACGUGUAGACUGCUGGGCUGCGUCAAUACUGACCAGAUGAUCUUUGGAGACUUCAGAUCCACUGGCACAUCUUCACCCAUAAUAUUUUUGUUUUGCCUUUUAUCAAGAUUUGUUUGCUGUUACUUUAUGUGUCUGAAUGUUUUUCCAGUAUAUCUAUAAGUGCACUGUGUGUGCCCAGUACCCACGGAGGCUAGAAGAGGGUGUUGGAUUCCCUGGAACUGGAGUUGCAAGCCUCUCUGUGGGUGCUAGGAAUUGAAUCCAUCUCUCUAGACCUCUUACCCAUAUUUUUAAAACUUUAAAUCUAGAGGAACAAGUCUCCUCGAAUGCACGGCUGAAAUUGAAAGUGGCAGGAGCCCUGUGCAGAAAAGUGCCACACUACCUCAAGCCAUGCGACACAAGACCCUAGGACCCUGCUACUUCUGUUUGCAAGAUAUACGCUGUUAUAUCCAGAGGCAGUGAAGAGAGAGACCUGCUUCAUUGGAGACAGAUGUUGAAAACACAGCUGCCCCUACAUCAAGACGGACUGCAGACUUCACCCUGACAAGGGAGACAGGAUCUCUGCAAGAACAAUAUAGACUUUUAACCACUAAGCCAUUUUAUUUUAGCUCAUAGGAUUUGUGUGUGUGUGUGUGUGUGUGUGUGUGUGUGUGUGUGUGUGUGUGUGUGUGUGUAGGGGUAUUUGUUUGUUUGUUUCUUUUUUUUAAGAUUUAUUUAUUUAUUAUUUUAUGUAUGUGAGUACACUGUCCUCAGACACACCAGAAGAGGGCAUUGAAUCCCAUUACAGAUGGUUGUGAGCCACCAUGUGGUUGCUGGGAAUUGAACUCAGGACCUCUGGAAGAGCAGUCAGUGCUCUUAACCUCUGAGCCAUCUCUCCAGCCCCCUGUUUGUUUGUUUCUUGAAACAAAGUCUCUCUGUGUAGCCCUGGCUGGCCUGAACUCAAGACCAGACUGGCUUUGAACUGUCAGAGAUCCAUCUGCCUUUGCCUCCCAAGUGCUGGGACCACCUCCACCACUCAGCAGCUUUUUUUCUUAAACACCAUCUUAUGCAGCCAAGUCUUGAACCUCACUAGUAGCCAAGGACGAAUCUUGAGCUUCUGAUCCUCGUGGCUUAACCUCUCUAGUGCUGAGGCCAUAGGUACUCACACCACACCUGGUUUUCUGCUGUGCAGGGGGAUAGACCCUAGAACUUUGUGAUUCUAGAAAAGCCCUUCACAAGUGCUGGAAUUAGACAUGAGUUACUAACCACACUCUGGGAUUACCUCAGAAUUUUAGCAUGUGAAUUAUUUUGUCUGUGACACACUUGCUAAAGAUCAUUUUCCUUGUCUCCUCUCACCCAGUUCCCUCUCUGUAGAAGCAGACCUAUCAGAUUGAGAGCAAGGGUCACACAUCUAGUCCAUACCUCUCUUGCUGUCUUGUUCUCCCCUGCCAUGUGGCUCCCGAUGGCUUAAUACUCAUUAUGUAGCCUAGCUGGCCUUGAACUUUCUGCAGUCCUGCCUUAGCCUGUCAAACACUCAUAAUCCUUUUUAAAACAAAUAUGAUCUGGGACCAGAGUGAUGACUUAGCUAAGAGCAUUGGCUGUUCUUCCAGGCUUGGUCGUGGCAUGCACAGAGUCACAGCUGAAAGUCACAGCUGUCCUCUGUGAUCCUGAGACCCUCUUCUGAUCUCUGUUGGCACCAGGUGUGCAUGUGGCACAGACAGAUGUGCAGGUGUGGUGUGUGCACAAGCGCGUAUGGAGGAAGGAGUUGACAUCUGAUGUCUCCCUCCAUCACUUUUCACUUCAUUUUUUCCCACUCCAACCCCAGAUUUUACAUGGUUACAGAGAUCCAAAUUCAGAUUUUCAUGCUUGCACAGCAGGCAAUGACUCCCCAGAAUAACCACUGUGGGCACUAUUCCCCGGAGAGGUUGGGAUCCAUGUCCACUCUCCUGAGACACACAGCUGACAAUAAUCCAACCUCAUGGAACAGUGAGUUUUGUUGGGUGGUUACUUAGAGGAGCAGAAAUGAUUUAAAGACAGCUGCAUCAUCAAAGGAGAUCCCAGCAAGGGUGACAGCUCACAAAGCUGGGGACUGCACAGUCUGCAGGCAGCUCAACAGGUUGGAAGGUGACUUUCCCAUGGCUCAGCUGGUGUAACAUUCUUCCAGACUGCUUGGUCAGAGUCUCUUCCAAGCAGCUUGGCUUCUCUGAAAGUCUUCUAGGCAGCUUGGUUGGUCUCUACAUCUUUAGUUGACUCAGCUUCCUUGAGUCUUUGGGCAGCCUCAGUUUGCCUGAGAGUAACUCCUAACAGUCUUUACCGCUAUAUUGUUGGGAAGGGAGAGACCUAGUGGAUUUAAUCAAUUUCAGGGACUUCCUAAAGCUAUUUUGGCUUGUUUACUUCCUGUCUUUUUUUUUUUCUUUUUUUCGGAGCUGGGGACCGAACCCAGGGCCUUGCGCUUGCUAGGCAAGCGCUCUACCACUGAGCUAAAUCCCCAAGCCCUAAAAUAUUUUAAAAAAGAUUUAUUUAUUUAUUUAUUUUAUGUCUAUAAGUAGACUGUCACUGUCUUCAGACACACCAGAAGAGGGCAUCUGAUCCUGAGAGAUAGAGUUUUAAAUUAGCCCAAAACUCAACAACAGGACCUGUCUCUGGAAGACAGAUUGUUAAAAAUGCAAGAGAACUACUUUGCUUAUCACCCAGUGUGAGUGACUGUUCUUUGCUCUGCCCCUGUGAUGUUUAUUUAAGCCCCUACUUGUGCUUUCCAACCAUUGCAUCCUGCAGAGAGCACUCCAGGAACCAGGGGGCCAUAAAACCUUCUGGGCCCCCUAAUCUCCUGGAGCCAUAAAACAAUCCUGUGACUUGGGUGCCUUCCCCUUUGACACCCCCAAUCCCCUGGGCUCACAGCCUCUGCCUUUAAAUACUCUUUCUCCCAGCCUCUCGGGCCGGGCCGAUGCCUCUGUCUCCUGCGUGAGAUAUGUGUCGGCCCGGAGAUCUCUAUAAUAGGUCUCCAUAAUAAACCUCGCCUUUGCUUAUUACAUCCAAAAUGGUCUUUCUGUGUCUGGGGUCUGCGAUUUCCCAAGACUUGAGUAAGGGUCUCUCUGCGUGGGAUCUUUCAGUUGAUUCAGCUCCUCAUGAG
ensembl:lncRNA